GGCCCAAAUUUGAAGUAGAGAGAUUAGAAGGAUAAUCUGACCCUGCUAAACUUGUCUACUUCGAGUUUGUGCCC
rnacentral:pre_miRNA from 1 species